rnacentral:rRNA from 1 species
GCCUAUCAGCUUGUUGGUGAGGUAAUGGCUCACCAAGGCGUCGACGGGUAGCCGGCCUGAGAGGGUGACCGGCCACACUGGGACUGAGACACGGCCCAGACUCCUACGGGAGGCAGCAGUGGGGAAUAUUGCACAAUGGGCGCAAGCCUGAUGCAGCAACGCCGCGUGAGGGAUGACGGCCUUCGGGUUGUAAACCUCUUUUAGCAGGGAAGAAGCGAAAGUGACGGUACCUGCAGAAAAAGCGCCGGCUAACUACGUGCCAGCAGCCGCGGUAAUACGUAGGGCGCAAGCGUUAUCCGGAAUUAUUGGGCGUAAAGAGCUCGUAGGCGGUUUGUCGCGUCUGCUGUGAAAUCCGGAGGCUCAACCUCCGGCCUGCAGUGGGUACGGGCAGACUAGAGUGCGGUAGGGGAGAUUGGAAUUCCUGGUGUAGCGGUGGAAUGCGCAGAUAUCAGGAGGAACACCGAUGGCGAAGGCAGAUCUCUGGGCCGUAACUGACGCUGAGGAGCGAAAGGGUGGGGAGCAAACAGGCUUAGAUACCCUGGUAGUCCACCCCGUAAACGUUGGGAACUAGUUGUGGGGUCCAUUCCACGGAUUCCGUGACGCAGCUAACGCAUUAAGUUCCCCGCCUGGGGAGUACGGCCGCAAGGCUAAAACUCAAAGGAAUUGACGGGGACCCGCACAAGCGGCGGAGCAUGCGGAUUAAUUCGAUGCAACGCGAAGAACCU